UUGACCUCGGAUCAGGUAGGAAUACCCGCUGAACUUAAGCAUAUCAAUAAGCGGAGGAAAAGAAACCAACAGGGAUUGCCUCAGUAACGGCGAGUGAAGCGGCAACAGCUCAAAUUUGAAAUCUGGCCCCAGGCCCGAGUUGUAAUUUGCAGAGGAUGCUUCGGGCGCGGCGCCUCCCAAGUCCCCUGGAACGGGGCGCCUGAGAGGGUGAGAGCCCCGUACGGUUGGAUGCCUAGCCCUUGUGAAGCUCCUUCGACGAGUCGAGUAGUUUGGGAAUGCUGCUCAAAACGGGAGGUAGACCCCUUCUAAAGCUAAAUACCGGCCAGAGACCGAUAGCGCACAAGUAGAGUGAUCGAAAGAUGAAAAGCACUUUGAAAAGAGGGUUAAACAGCACGUGAAAUUGUUGAAAGGGAAGCGCUCGUGACCAGACUUGCGCCGGGGCGAUCAUCCGGCGUUCUCGCCGGUGCACUCGCCCCGGCUCAGGCCAGCGUCGGUUUGGGCGGGGGGAGAAAUGCGCUGGGAAUGUGACUCCCCCGGGAGUGUUAUAGCCCAGCGCGUCAUGUCCCCGCCCGGACCGAGGUUCGCGCUCUGCAAGGACGCUGGCGUAAUGGUCACCAGCGGCCCGUCUUGAAACACGGACCAAGGAGUCGAGGUUCUGCGCGAGUGUCUGGGUGUCAAACCCGCACGCGCAAUGAAAGUGAACGCAGGUGGGAGCCUCGGCGCACCACCGACCGAUCCUGAUGUUCUCGGAUGGAUUUGAGUAGGAGCGUAGGGCCUCGGACCCGAAAGAUGGUGAACUAUGCUUGGAUAGGGUGAAGCCAGAGGAAACUCUGGUGGAGGCUCGCAGCGGUUCUGACGUGCAAAUCGAUCGUCAAAUCUGAGCAUGGGGGCGAAAGACUAAUCGAACCAUCUAGUAGCUGGUUACCGCCGAAGUUUCCCUCAGGAUAGCAGUGUUGUCUUCAGUUUUAUGAGGUAAAGCGAAUGAUUAGGGACUCGGGGGCGCUAUUUAGCCUUCAUCCAUUCUCAAACUUUAAAUAUGUAAGAAGCCCUUGUUGCUUAGUUGAACGUGGGCAUUCGAAUGCACCAACACUAGUGGGCCAUUUUUGGUAAGCAGAACUGGCG
rnacentral:rRNA from 1 species